rnacentral:rRNA from 1 species
GAAGGUGGCCUGUGAGGGUUGCUGGAGGUAUCAGAAGUGCGAAUGCUGACAUAAGUAACGAUAAAGCGGGUGAAAAGCCCGCUCGCCGGAAGACCAAGGGUUCCUGUCCAACGUUAAUCGGGGCAGGGUGAGUCGACCCCUAAGGCGAGGCCGAAAGGCGUAGUCGAUGGGAAACGGGUUAAUAUUCCCGUACUUGGUGUUACUGCGAAGGGGGGACGGAGAAGGCUAUGUUGGCCGGGCGACGGUUGUCCCGGUUUAAGCGUAUAGGUGUGUGUUCCAGGUAAAUCCGGUUCACUUUAACACUGAGGCGUGAUGACGAGGCGCUACGGUGCUGAAGCAACAAAUGCCCUGCUUCCAGGAAAAGCCUCUAAGCAUCAGGUAACAUCAAAUCGUACCCCAAACCGACACAGGUGGUCAGGUAGAGAAUACCAAGGCGCUUGAGAGAACUCGGGUGAAGGAACUAGGCAAAAUGGUGCCGUAACUUCGGGAGAAGGCACGCUGACAUGUAGGUGAAGUGAUUUACUCAUGGAGCUGAAGUCAGUCGAAGAUACCAGCUG